UUUCCCUCAGGAUAGCAAGCGUACAUCUUUAGUUUCAUCCCGUAAAGCGAAUGAUUAAAGGCCUUGGAGCGUAUAUAGCCUCCACCUAUUCUCAAACUUUUAAUGGGUGUGAGUGUUCUUUCUCAAUUGAAGAAAUUUUUAUCCACCGGAGACGUUG
rnacentral:ncRNA from 1 species